UUUAGUGUUAUGUACAAACAGAUGGGUCAGACCAAAUGCGAUGAACAAACUGUUCAUCAUUUGGACAGAAAAGCCAAAAUGAAAUACUUCGCAGUCGGAAUUCUGGUGGUCUUUGUGGCCUUUGCUGUUGUCGCUUCUGCGGAAGAUGACAAACUUCCGGAUCAAGAACUUCUCGAGGCGGUUGAACGUGCGAUAGAAAAUGCGAACAACGACAAGAGGA